rnacentral:rRNA from 1 species
AUGAAACAGUUACAAGACGACAUAGUCCAAACGCCUGACUAUUACAGAGUACCAUCGAUCGACCAAGAAACAGGAACAGACUAUCUAAGCGGAGGUGAACUUGGUGACGGCCUUGGUGCCCUCGGAGACGGCGUGCUUGGCGAGCUCGCCGGGGAGGACGAGGCGGACGGAGGUCUGGAUCUCCCUGGACGUGAUGGUGGGCUUCUUGUUGUAGCGCGCCAGCUUGGCCGACUCGCCGGCGAGCUUCUCGAAGAUGUCGUUGAUGAAGGAGUUCAUGAUGGACAUGGCCUUGGAGGAGAUGCCGAUGUCCGGGUGAACCUGCUUCAGCACCUUGAAGAUGUAGAUCUUGUACGUCUCCACGCUCUUCUUGGACUUCUUCUUCCCCUUCUUCUCGCCGCCCUCCUUGGACGCCGGCGGCCGCUUCUCGGCCUUGGUCUUCUUCGCUGUCGUCGUCUUCUCGGCCUUCUCCGCCACCGGCUUCUUCUCCGCCUUGGGGGCCAUGGAUGCCGCUGCUGCUGCUGCUUCUUCGUGGAAGCUCAGUCUUUGGAAGCUACCAGCUCGGUUUUUUCGUUUUUGUUUUUUUCUGGAUAG